ACGGCUAAUAGAUUAGGGAUUGACGAGAUUUUUUUUUCCCAGAUCACUCGCCAUCCCUCUUCCUCUUCCUCUUCCUCUUCUGUUCUUCUUCAGUUAUGACUGGGCAUUUCUUCUGUCGCCGAAACGAUUCGGCCUUCCGUAACGCUUCUCGAAUCCUCAUUUAUAUAACGUACUCGAGCUGCCUUAGCCGCCGUCCCUACCGUCGCCCCUGUCUCCGCCGUCACCGCUUCCGCAGAUGCCGCCAUCUCCGCCACCGCUGCCGUCUCCACCGCCGCCACCGUUCCCUACACCACCUUUGACUCACUCCGACUUGGCAGGACCGCCCAGUGUUUGGUCGGUAGAUGAAAGAUAUCAAUAUACCGCCCAGUGUUUCUCUAUUGAUACUUCAUCUGCUUUCAAUAUGGGUACUCCACAUCAACUUAUAUUAGGUUAUUAGUCUCUCUUGCCUGUUUAAUUGUUAUUAAUCUCGAUUUGCUUCUGUCUGAUUUGAAGGCUGGACGGCGUAGGGAAACUGUUGUCACUAGCAUCCUCUGUUUUUGGUAGCAAGAAUGUGAAGAAACCUAGAGAGCUUAUUGGGGUUGAUUUGGUUAUGUCGAGGAAACUCAAAAUUGCACCUAAACCUAAAUUUCAACCACUAAGAACCGCUCUCAGAUGGUGCUGUGGAUGAAGCUUUCAGGGAAGAGAGAGUGUCUCUUUGAGGAUGGACAAUGCAGAAGACCCACAACGUAGGCUGCUUCCACACUGCCUAAAGGACUCAGUGGGCAGCACUUUCACUUUCCCGUCGAAGCUUUCUCCAUUCAACUUCUAUUCAAAGAAUCAAACAUUCACCGUUUCACAGAUAUUUGACCGCAAUCAGCGUCCACCACCCUCAAGCUUUGCGAGGGUUGAGCUGAUUUAUUCAUGACUUUCCUGCUUUGGUUAAAUGAUAAGCUGGCAAAGGAAGUUAAGCUUCUAAAGAAUCACUCACAUUCAAAUAUAGUUGUAUUUAGGCACAAGGGAAUGCUAAGGAAAAAAACUACUGCUAAGGAAAAUAUAAAAGGGAAUGCUUUGUUUGGGAUAGCUGAGAAGGUUUUUUCUUGCUAAAUAUAGCUGAGAAGGGGUUUCUGCACCUCAUAGGAGAAAAUGAAUAGAAGAAGAUGGACAGAGAGAGGAAAAACAGAGUGCAAAGCUAAUAAUGAGAGAGUUUAUAAAAAAUGAUGUACCGGAAAGUAAUGGCGUCAGGUGAAGUUUCUGAAGUAAAAAAGAAAGAAAGUGGAAGACUAUAUUUCAGUUGUUCAAAGAAAAAAAAAAGGAAGACUGUAUUUCAGUAGAAACCAUUGUCAAAAAGUUUGGAGAGAUUAAGGAUCCGCAACAAGUUACUUCACAAGAAGAGGAAAAGAUUUUAGAAAAGAGUAACUAUUUUUGUUUUCCGAUCCGUAAUUUUUACGGUUUGAUUAGGAAGAAACACUCCAAACAAAUUCUAAUCAAUUAUAUUUGUUGUCUGAAAAUGAUGAUGUCCAUGCUUAUUAAUGGAAUUUAAAC